CUACAGAACUAGGGGAGGCAACAAUUAUCACUGUUGACCUAGAAACCAUUGACCUAAUUCAAUAUGGGAAGAUGCCACAUGUCACACAGCCGCAUACCACAACAAAUCGCUGUAGCACAGAAUAUCUAUGUCACACCUAAAAAGGAAAUUUCACCAGAGGCACAAAGGAUCACCAGGAUUGCAUGGAAUAUUCAGACAUGAUGAUGAUAAAAAGCACAAUAGUCCGACACAUCUGUACCUGGAAUUAAGUCGACUUUAGAGAAAUUGUGUACUUGGCUUGAAAAGAUCCUAAAGUGAUUUUGGUUGCCCGUUAUGGAAGACAAGUUGAUUUUCCAGUUCUUGUCUCGGCUCUACUGUGCACAAAAAUAACUAGGACAUUAUUCAGCUGAGUUUCUUCUAAAAAGUAUUCUUUUACCAGUGUUCAAGAAACUGUACCCUAAACAGUCAUACUUGCUAUGACACUACUUGGAAAAACUGGGAAGGCCUGCCAAGGGUUUUCAUAUGUUAAAGAAAAAUUUCAAGCAGUGACCUAUACUCAUGAUAAAUUUGGUACCAUCAUGUUCAUUAUCUUAAGUAGAAAAUGACAAUUGUAAUUGGAAAUUCGAAUUAUGUUAUUUUACUCUAUAUUUAAGAAAAUUAAUAUAUUAAAACUUGUAAAUUUUUUCAUUUGUUAAAAUGUUAUAUUAUAGCUUUAAGCCUUAAUGCCCUCUUUUUACAGUCUGCCUAAAGAAACACUUUAGUUGUUCUUGUUUAUUAUUUAGCCAUUUCCUUGAUUAAAAAUACACAACAGACUUCUAGCUCAAGACUUUCCAAGGUUGACAAGUUAUUACUUUCUUUGAUUUUGUUUAAGUUUGUUACUUAUUGUUAAAUAUUUUUGUUCAAAAUUUAUUAAGGUGUAUAAUGUUACCUUUUAAUAGUAAAGUAAGGAGAAGACAACCUUUACUGUAAGCUAAUAUAGCUUUCUGUCCAAUGCCUGGAACAUUUUUUGUAAAUAUUUCAUGACUUUCAGAAUAAAAAUGUUUAAUUUAAAACUAUAAGUAAUGUAUAUAAACCCCAAACUUUUAAGGAGCAAGAAGACAAAAUUCCAUUUCAACUCUUGUAUAAAAUGAACUUUGUGAUAUUUUUCUUAGUGAUAAGUUUCUCAGUGAUAACUAGACAUUUAAUUUUAUAUCUGUUUAGAUUUUUGUACAGUUAAUUCAGGUGUAUACAAGAUAAUAUUUAUAAAGAUUUUUUUAAUGUUUUAAGCUACCUAAUUAUUUAUAUUAAAGAAAACUGUUAAAUUUUAAUUACUAAAAAUGUAAGUGUACAUGUAAAUUCUAUUUCACUAUACUUACAUAUUAUUGAAAGCUAAGGGACUCCAUUGGAAAUAAGUGAAAUUGUUACUUUAUGGUUUAUCCCAGGCAGAAAGAUCGUCUUUUUUUCCUUAUAUUUAUAUAUUAGCUUGAUUACAAUUGUAAAGUACAAACAUAUAAGGGUUUACUGCAUAUUUAUUAAUUCAAAUAUUUUUGAUUUCUGUACCACUUUGUAUUUCUGUUAUAACUGGAUCUUAUAUGCCUUAAUAAAAUUGAAUUGAAUUGAACUGAAUUGGAUUUUUAAACUGAAACUGAACUGAGUUGAAUUUUAAACUGGAACCAAACUGAACUGAACUGAAUUUGAAACAGAAACUGAACUGAAUUUUACACUGAAACUGAACUGAAUAAACUACAGUACAGCUUGCAUAAAGAGACCACCAAAGUGAAGGAAAAGACAUGUUCUCUUUAUUCAAAAUAAUUUCUUCUUUGAUAACAUAAAAGGGAUCUGAAAAACUGGUCUCUUAAUGCAAGAAGCCUCUAAAUCAAAUGUACUUUAUGAAACUUAUUAUGCCUUUGUGUUGCAAAUUUUGUAAUGUAGUUUUGUUGUGUCUAUGAUGAUUUCUCUAAAUAAACUUUAAACAUUA